GGAGGGGUGGCAGAGUCUGGCUUAUUGCGGCGGUCUUGAAAACCGCUGUGGGGCAACCCACCGGGGGUUCGAAUCCCUCCCCCUCCGCCA
rnacentral:tRNA from 1 species